rnacentral:rRNA from 1 species
GUGCUUACCAUGCAAGUCGAACGGUGAUGAGGAGCUUGCUUCUCUGAUCAGUGGCGAACGGGUGAGUAACACGUGAGCAAUCUGCCCUUGACUCUGGGAUAAGCGUUGGAAACGACGUCUAAUACCGGAUACGACCUUGGAAGGCAUCUUCUGGGGUGGAAAGAAUUUUGGUCAAGGAUGAGCUCGCGGCCUAUCAGCUUGUUGGUGAGGUAAUGGCUCACCAAGGCGACGACGGGUAGCCGGCCUGAGAGGGUGACCGGCCACACUGGGACUGAGACACGGCCCAAACUCCUACGGGAGGCAGCAGUGGGGAAUAUUGCACAAUGGGCGCAAGCCUGAUGCAGCAACGCCGCGUGAGGGACGAAGGCCUUCGGGUUGUAAACCUCUUUUAGUAGGGAAGAAGCGACUGGGUUUUCCUGGGAGUGACGGUACCUGCAAAAAAAGCACCGGCUAACUACGUGCCAGCAGCCGCGGUAAUACGUAGGGUGCAAGCGUUGUCCGGAAUUAUUGGGCGUAAAGAGCUCGUAGGCGGUUUGUCGCGUCUGCUGUGAAAACCCGAGGCUCAACCUCGGGCCUGCAGUGGGUACGGGCAGACUAGAGUGCGGUAGGGGAGAUUGGAAUUCCUGGUGUAGCGGUGGAAUGCGCAGAUAUCAGGAGGAA